rnacentral:rRNA from 1 species
GAUGAACGCUGGCGGCGUGCCUAAUACAUGCAAGUCGAGCGAACAGACGAGGAGCUUGCUCCUCUGACGUUAGCGGCGGACGGGUGAGUAACACGUGGAUAACCUACCUAUAAGACUGGGAUAACUUCGGGAAACCGGAGCUAAUACCGGAUAAUAUAUUGAACCGCAUGGUUCAAUAGUGAAAGACGGUUUUGCUGUCACUUAUAGAUGGAUCCGCGCCGCAUUAGCUAGUUGGUAAGGUAACGGCUUACCAAGGCGACGAUGCGUAGCCGACCUGAGAGGGGGAUCGGCCACACUGGAACUGAGACACGGUCCAGACUCCUAAGGGAGGCAGCAGUAGGGAAUCUUCCGCAAUGGGCGAAAGCCUGACGGAGCAACGCCGCGUGAGUGAUGAAGGUCUUCGGAUCGUAAAACUCUGUUAUUAGGGAAGAACAAAUGUGUAAGUAACUAUGCACGUCUUGACGGUACCUAAUCAGAAAGCCACGGCUAACUACGUG